rnacentral:rRNA from 1 species
CAGUAGCCGCGGUAAUACGGAGGGGGCUAGCGUUGUUCGGAAUUACUGGGCGUAAAGCGCACGUAGGCGGCUUGGUAAGUUAGAGGUGAAAGCCCGGAGCUCAACUCCGGAAUUGCCUUUAAGACUGCCGAGCUAGUAGGUGAGAGAGGUAAGUGGAAUUCCGAGUGUAGAGGUGAAAUUCGUAGAUAUUCGGAAGAACACCAGUGGCGAAGGCGGCUUACUGGCUCAUUCUAGACGCUAAGGUGCGAAAGCGUGGGGAGCAAACAGGAUUAGAGACCCCCGUAGUCCCUGUCUCUUAUAC